UGGACAUGGCAUAGUGGUUUAAGUGUUGGACUACAACUCUGGAGACCAGGGUUCGAUUCCCUGCUCAG